CAGCAUCGCUAGGGGUCCUGCCCCCGUUUUUUAUGAGCCAGUCCCCAUCGAAGGAUUGGUUUUUUUACAUAAACACGGGGCGCCGGUGAGAAACACCCUUGGAACCUGACCCGGAUAAUACCGGCGUAGGGAAGCGUCUUUAAUUGAAG
rnacentral:ncRNA from 20 species